GCGAGGCAGCAGGCGGCCGGCAGCGGCGGUUACCGGAGGCCGCCAUGGACCGCAGGAAGAAGCCGCUGGACGUGGCCGCCUCCUCGCUGGUAGAUCUCAAAGCAGAACUCUUCAGAAAGCAAGAAGAAUUUAAGAAAGAAAAGCUGCUGAAAGAUGCCGGCAUCUUUGCAAAGCCCAAAACUCCUAAUAAGAAGCCAAGCAUCUGGAGCAAACAGAACACAGGAGUUGCAAAUCGAGCCGAGAAGGAUGUUGAGCAGAAGGCAGAAGAGGAGCAUAUAUUAGAUACAUCAAGGAAGAAACUAGAAGAGAAAGCAAAGCUGUAUGAGAAAAUGACAAAAGGCGACUUUCCAGAUGAAGAAACAGAGGAUUUGUACCUAGUGGAUUUCACUCAGAAGAUCAUAGACAAACAGCACGAAGCACAGGAACUGUAUCAGAGUGAAGCUGCUCGAAAGACUUCAGAAAAAGACACAGAUGAUGAGGAAACUCAACCUGAAAUGGAAAUACCACCACCUGAGGACCCAGAUGAGGAAUGGGUUGAUUAUGUUGAUUUCUUGGGCCGAUCUAGACGCUGUAUGAAGAAGGAUUUGCCAAGCCUGCUUAAAAUGGACCAGGAGCUUCAAGGGAAAAGGCAAGGUCUUGAUGGGAAUACUCUGUUAUCUGAAGACAUGAGAAAAGAACUUCAGAGGCAGCAGUGGGAAAAAGAAGAGGAAGAAGCUCUCAGAAAACCCAUGGGACCAAUACAUUAUGAGGACAUUCGAGAAAAUGAGGCCAGACAGCUUGGUGUUGGUUACUUUGCCUUUUCUCGUGACAAAGAACUGAGGCACAAACAACGGGCAACACUAGAUAUGCUGAGAGAGCAGACACUUGAUCAGAGAACUAAACGUGAACAGUUAAAAGAAAAAAGGAAGGCAGCUCUAGAUGCAAGGCUGUCUAAACUUCGAGCACGGAAGGUUAAGAAGUUAAGGGAAGCUGGAUUAGAGGAGGAGGCGUUAAAACUGGAGAAUGGAGAGCUGAAAAGCGUUCCUGAUGAACCAGAAGCUCCGAGAGUAACUGCAGCAAGUAGGAAGGUGGAGGUUGUCAUCCAGGAGAGAAGAGAUACAAAGCCUGGCGUGCCUUAUGUCCGAGAGUGGGAUAAAGGCAAAGAAUUGAUGUUUGGACAAUGGUCAAAGAAACAGGAAGAACUCAGAGAUGAGCGAGAUCCAGAAUUUGCACCACCUUCUAAUUACUUUGUGGGACAAAAGAAAGAUGAUAAUUACAGAAGUCAGAAUUCAAGCAGUCCUGAAACCUCCCCUGAAAAACUGGAAACAGAGAUGGCACAAGACCAACAGAUGCCAUCAGUGCAGGCCAACAGCAGCAGCACUAAAGGUGUGCCACCGCCAGCACAGGCUUACAGCAGCAACGUUCAAGAUGUGUCAGCAUCUGGAGAAGCCUGUGGCAGCGAUGCUCAGGGUGCGCCAUCGUCAGAUGACAGCAGUGAUGAUGAGGAUAUGCUGCCACCAGCACAGGCCUAUGGCUACGGUCCUCGAGGUGUGCCGCCUCCAAUGCAGCCUUACGGCUAUGGGGCUCGGGGCGUGCUGCCAUCAAUGCAGCCUUAUGGCUACGGCCUUCACGAGGUGCCAUUUCCAAUGCAGCCUUAUGGCUAUGGUGCUCAGGGUGUGCUGCCGCCAAUGCAUUCUUAUGGCUACAGCACUCAUGAUAUGCCAUUUCCAAUGCAAGCUUAUGGCUAUGGCACCCAGGAUGUGCCACCAGGAACACACGCCUGUGGCUGCAAUGCCCAAGACAUGCCACCAGGAACACAGGACUGUGGCUGCAAUGCCCAAAAUGUGCCACCAAGAGGUCACACCUGUGGCUGUAAUGCCCAAGACAUGCCACCAGGAACACAGGACUGUGGCUGCAAUGCCCAAGACGUGCCACCAGGAACGCACACCUGUGGCUGCAGCACUCAAGAUGUGCCACCAGGAACACACGCCUGUGGCUGCAGUGCCCAAGAUGUGCCACCUUCAGCACAGACCAACAGCAGCGAUGCUCAGAAUCAGGAACCACUUUAUGAAAGUUUAGAUGAUAUGCUUUCUUAUUACAGACAAGUGACUUGAACUGAGUAAAAAGCUAAGCAAAUGGUGAUUUAGAGAACUGAAACAGAAUUAUCUUCUCAGCAAGAAUAUUAUUUUCCUCCAUCUGGGAAAAAUACAUUUCUGUCACAACUUAGAAAUCACUAUAAUGCCCUUGGAAGGUGGGAGUGCAAAUGAUGCUAUUACAGUUUGGAGAACAAGGAAAUGGAAGAUGGAGAUGGGCAGAGCUGCUAAAGGCUACAAAGGAGCCACUGUUCCAACUGAGUUAGACCCAGGAGCUCUGUGCUCAAACUGCCAUUGUAUCUCUGUGGUAUAGUGUGUCUCUCCCUCUUAUUUUGUUUGAGGUAGCUGUGGAAGGAAGGAUCAACUGAAACAUAAAUGCAGGAGAAACUUCCCAGAGUGUUCUGAAGCUUGCUGGGCAGCACUGUGAAGUGUUUUAGGGUGGCUUGGGUUGUGUACUUCAUGCUUUCUUAGCUGCUUUUAGUCUAGAAUCACAGUAUGUUAAAAUUAUUUAUCAAGCCUCAGAAUAUUAUUCCCAAAUAAGAUAAUGCCACUACCCCUGUUUUGUGGAAAUAAGAAAACUUAAAUGCAAAAUGUCUUGUGCAAGGUCACAAAGCAAAUCUGUGGCAGAGUAGAAGUUCAAACCCAGUUCUCCAGGCUGUCUAACUUAUGCCAGAGAAGUUUCGUAUUUAAGAAGGACCUCACAUGCAUCAGUAUGUGGAAGUCUGUCAGAGAAAAGUAUGAUUUCCUUGGAGCUGAACUAAUUCUGAAGAGUAGGCAAAGUACUUUAAAACAUUAGAGCUUGACUGGAAUUCAUCAGGGCAAUUAUAUGCUUUGAUGAAUUUCCCUAUAAAGAAUUUUUGCAUCUAUUCUGCUACUAUUUUAAUCACUAACAUUCACUUCCUACUGCCUUCUGGGCUUUGCUUUUCCUGUGCCCUUCAGACUGUGGGUAAUUUUACAUAUGUACUUGGUUUCAGAGCUAUAUUUUCUUUGCAUUAGUUUAAUACUAAGCUAGAGCCACACUAAGGAAUGAAAUGCCAUUUAUUACAUUAGCAUUAUGUAAAGAGAGACAAUCACAGUGUUCCUUUGUUCAGCUUCAUUUCCAUAGCCUAAUACUAAACACAGGAGGACUCUUGGCCAGGAAGACAGUUCAUUGUCUACAUGAAACUAAAGCCUAUUGAGAAUGACUCUCGCACAGCAGUGAUCUGUCACUUUGCCAUUUGGUCUCCUUCCCUCUUGUCUCGAUUUAUUUUUUGGCUGAAAUGCUUUUGCAUAUUCCCUCAUACUGUGAAGCACACAUUUCUAUUCAGUGUGUUUUGCUCAGACCACCUCAAGUUAGCUUCACUGUGAUUGGCAACCUCAUUCAUUUAAUUUAGCAGUUCCUGGGGCAAACAGUUGCCUAUUGAUACGCUGCCAAGGUUACAGUCUUCUCAUAUUCUGGCCAGAUCUAGAGGAUGUUGUCUCCCAUUACCUCUUCCUCCUCAUUUUAAGUUGCCACCCCCAAGUUACCUACUCCAACACCAGUGGAAAAUGGGUAUGCGCUUGGUAAGAAUCUGCCACCAUCAGUAUAUGACUGAUGAAAGUAAAGCAAGCCUGUGUUUUCACACUUUUCUGAGCAUGCAUAAUUGUAGGCACUGUAUCUGCAGUUGCAUUUUGCUGGAAUUUAGCUCUUUGCUGAGAGGUACCAAUGUCAGUGUUCUGCACAGAGACAGGGGCAGUCCCUUGCUCUGGGGCACCAAAUCUAAGGCAGCUUUGUCCUACAUCUUUGUGUGAAUAUUUUUCUGAUACCCAAGUUGUCUUUAUCCAAAAUGCAAAAAGCGUGCUUGAAUUUCAACCCUUACCUGCUCUGGCUGGCUGGCAGGACUCAGUCUUAUCUCCAGAGAAGGCAAUUUUCAUCAAAGGCCGAUUUCCACACUCUCAGAGGGGCAGCAGGGAUCUGGAUCUGACUGUGAACUAUUAGCAUGUCAACUAAGGCUGUUAGGUGUAAAAAGUACAGCCAGAUAAGGUUAGAGGCAGAUAAUUGUAUUGAUCACAUUGUCCUCCUUAACUGUUUUUAAUCCAAACGCCUCUCCAAAUCCUUCAGUGUCCAGGUACAAGUUCUAUCAGUAGCUCUAGAGUUGUUAAAAUGUAGUCCUGAUAAGAUCCUAAGUAUCUCUCAUCUUGUAGUAAAUUUGGACUAAGAUCUUCCCUCCUCUCCCCUUUUUUUUUGGGUGAAGUUUUGACUAUGUCCAGCAUUGACCCAAACUCAAGGUAUCGACUUCACAUUUUAAAAUAGUUAAAGAGGCUAAACAGAGACAAGAGCAAAUGUAAUAAUAUUCCAGGAGUUGGUUAACAUACAGAUGACUGGAUUUGUUUGCCCCUCUGUCAAAGGCAUGGCCUAAAGCAGUCUAUAGAUAUAAUGUGAACUUCUGUAAAACUUCAAUUGCAGUUUAACAGUUCAGGCUGGAAGCUUACUUUGUCAUUAAGAAGCUGUUUUGCUUGCUUUCUCUAAAUCAAAUAAAAUUAUCU